rnacentral:rRNA from 1 species
CCUACGGGAGGCAGCAGUGAGGAAUAUUGGUCAAUGGGCGCGAGCCUGAACCAGCCAAGUCGCGUGAGGGAUGAAGGUACAGAGUAUCGUAAACCUCUUUUGUCAGGGAACAAAGGCGGGGACGCGUCCCCGGAUGAGUGUACCUGAAGAAAAAGCAUCGGCUAACUCCGUGCCAGCAGCCGCGGUAAUACGGAGGAUGCGAGCGUUAUCCGGAUUUAUUGGGUUUAAAGGGUGCGCAGGCGGUCUGUUAAGUCAGCGGUCAAAGCCCGGGGCUCAACCCCGGCCCGCCGUUGAAACUGGCAGUCUCGAGUUGGAGAGAAGUAUGCGGAAUGCGCGGUGUAGCGGUGAAAUGCAUAGAUAUCGCGCAGAACUCCGAUUGCGAAGGCAGCAUGCCGGCUCCACACUGACGCUGAGGCACGAAAGCGUGGGUAUCGAACAGGAUUAGAUACCCCUGUAGUC